GACCCACAUCCAACGGAUCUAAGUUUAAUAGGAAGUCAGUCUGAAUAUUCAGACUGUUAACUGGAAAAAAAAAAUCUGGAUAUAACUGAACCUGCACCAUGCAUUUCCUUUGUAACCGGCUACUUGAAAUACUUAUCUCAGACUUGAAUACCUUCUUGCCUUCAGUCUCUGUUUCCAUCGUGGAGCCCCUGUUUGGAUGUUGCCUGGUGUAGUCCUGCUCAGUAGGGCCAAGUCUAGAACUGUCUUCUGUCACAUUGUAGAAGCAUUGAAAAGCAUUGACUCCUAACAUACAGCUUACCCUCAGUAGGGGACAUUUUAUCCUCAGUAUCUUGAGUUCAUAAGGAUCUCAUCCUUCAUCUAGGAGGGUUUAACUCGCUACAGAACUAGGAUAUUUUUAUUAUACGUAGACUGGGAUGAUAAGAAAAAAUGUUUCUGUACUGCAGAAGUAUCGGUCUAAGGUGAGAACCAGGUAACAUGGGAGUUUUGAAGAAAGUGGAGCAAGCUGAAGAAGCUGCAAAUUUCCAGUUCUCAGCUAUUCAGUUCCAGACAAGCGUGACAGACAAGAAAGCAAAGCGGAUCAUUGCAAAUACUGCUCUUCCUGAAAUCAUGUUGAGGUUAUUGUCAAAAACAAACACCAAAUUCCUAAAUGUGAAUAUAUCCCGGGGAGAACAAAGUGUAAGUGUCACAAUAAGCUGCAAAUACAUUGAGUGGCUGCUUGCAAGCAUAUGGUCUCCCCUUUAUGAUUUUAGUAUGCCUGAUGUUUGAUUUUUCAGCGUUAGGCAGAUUUACACCUGGUGGACAUUAAAGUAGCUAGUGUUCAGAGCUGUUUUUCUCAGUGGCUGGUUUCAGUACAUCUUCACAUUCUUCUUUGUUUUUCACAAUUAGCUGACUCCUAUAAAAAUUUCCAUUGACCUAAUCGGAGUAGAGCAGCAGUGCAGUCCUGCGACUAUUACUUUUCUCCCCAAGUAAUUUUUUUCAACUGUACGCCACAGACUUUGGGGCCCUACAGUACGUUAAGGCUGGCGGCUGGUUUCAGGAAUGACUGGCAGAGCUUCCGCUGUAGGGCUCCGAUUCUGACAGCAGCGUCUCUCUGCAAGUGCCACGUGGCAAAGUUGGCUGCUAGACUUAAGAGGGAAUUGCCCAAUGCAAACAGGCAUCUUUAGACGUAUCAUAUUUUACAAUGAAAGUUCUUUUCCCUCCCUUCCCUUUUAGACAUGUCUUAGAAGGGUCUCGAGUCAAAGCCAAAUGGUUCCCAGAAGCAAUUAAAGCAAGCUACCCGGCCUAUGCACUUCCAGUAUGCAAGAUAGCAACUAAAAUGAAUGGAAAAAUACUAAAAGAUGAGACAAUAACCAUUUAGUCCUCCAAAUUAAUGACAUUUAAAAAAAUUAGUAUUGGUCUUUGUGAUCACUAUGGCAAUACCCGAGGAGCUCUGGAAUGCUUUGUCUGUAGCUAGUAGCCGUAGCCGUAGCCAUUGCCACAGUGGGAACACCACUGUUGGAAACCGCACAUGGGUAUGGGAGAUACACUCACACUGCUUUGCGUUUUCAGGAUGGUGGCACACAGAGUAGUACAUAUUUGCUGUCCUACUAUAAUAUUUGCUGUAUGACUCCAGCAGAAGGUUCUGGGCCUAUCUGGAAGGACCAAAGGAUGCCAGUAUUUAUACAAAGAACUGGAAAGCUGCUUCCAAAACAAAGGUGCAAAGUGGUGCAGAAGGAAGUCCUGGCAUUGCACCGAUAUGUUUGCAGGGUGCUGUUGCUGUCCUGAUUUGAUACAACCCAACAGAAUCAACACAAAGCAAAGUUAGAGUAUUUCUACCCUGCUUCUGGGGUGGCUCUUUGCGCAGCACUUCACAUCAUAACUUAUUUCUCUGUUGUUCUCUCCUUAUUAUUCAGUACAGGGUGAAGCAUUUGCUGCUUCUCUCUAUGGUUUGGAUGGACAUCAGGGUGCACUCCGAAAAAGGGGAACUAAUGGUUUGAGAGAGGCAUUUUAAAGGUCUUUUUGGUUUGGGUAUUGUUUUGAUGCAUUGUUUAACUGCUAUUUCUGUACCCCCUUUGUUAGCCUACCCGUAUUUUAACAGUGGUUGCUACUAUUCUGUCUUCAGAAUAUCCACUGCUAUCUUCCUACUUUCUUCUCUCCCGUGGCAAAAUCCCUGAUUGGAAGGAAAAAUCAUUAGCGCAAACAGUAAUAAACAGGCUUUGAUUCGCAGGAGUCAAGAGUGCUUUUAAGAAUGUGGACUGAUAUUUAUUAAAUGCACUUACAGACCUCAGAGGAUAUAAUAUGGCUUAAUUAAUAUCGCUCCUGAAGUCAUAAUUUCUGCUGUCACCUUUUUUCAGAUGCUAGCCAUGUCUUCUUAACACUCCCUUAAUGCAUAAACCACACUCAUUUUCGAAGAAGAAGUGGUCCUACUGGCAAUAAAUAUCACAUCUAACCAAAUACUGUGUGAUUCAGGACAUUUGGUAAGAGGAAAAUGAGGACAAGGAAGUAUGCUUAGGUCUAAGUAUUAAACAAAAUACAAGGAUAUCCAAGAAUUGCCUUAUAGAAAAAAAAAAAAAAGUCCAAGGAAAAUACUUUAUGUUUGCAGUACUAAUUUGUAUUAAAUUUCUAUUCAUACCGUAUGGAUUAACAUGAACAAGGGAUUUUCUUUAAUAUUUUAUUUGGCUGGAUUGAGUGCAAGGGUUCCAGUACUCCGGAGAUGAUCAUUCUGAAUGACUGGGUGAUCCAUUAAAACAUUCUGCUGAGGUAUGUCUUUGUCCUGCCAGCUGGAGGAUUUUGCCAGGGUUAAGUGCCAAAAUAGAUCUCAAUAUGAAAGUUUUAACUAAUUCAAGGAAAUCGUUAUGUAACCUCACUGCCAAGAAUAGUGUUCACGUAUACUGUUACAGAGAGAUGUGAUGAAGUUGAAUGUAUUCGUAUUUGCAAAGUGCUUUGAUAAGAAGGUGUUACAGAGUGCAAUAUAUUAUCAUGCUAAAGAUGUACUUCAGUCUUUGAACAGGGAUUGGGUAGGUGCAAAAUAAGCUCAACGGGAUUUUCAAUUAAUAUGCACUGAAAUAGUUUGACUAAAUUCUAUGAAAAGAACAAACGCUAAAGAUAAUCAUUUGUCAUAUGCAAAUAUAUAGUUAUAUGCAGCCAUGCUACUCUUAUACGCAUAUUAGUAUCACCUCCUGCAAAUAUUUCCUCUUUAGAGUCUUUAAGACAAGGACAGCAGAUCCAUGCUUACGUGCGUUUUACAUCAGCAAACAUUUUGCAUUACAACAAAAAUCUCUCAGAAUUAUUGCAUGAUACGAUUUUGUUUCCAGUAUCCGUCUAAUCACUAAAAAUGUAUUCUUUUUCACAGUUCUCCCAGGACAAAGUAGGAAUAGUAAGGAAUAGUAUUAAAGCGAGGCUCAGAGUUAAUUAUGCAAGACAUCUGUGAUUAUAUGUAAAGUCUGGUUGAUAUUGUGUCUCCAUCAUUUGAAGUCAAGACCAAAUGCCCCACUGACCUCAGGAGUACAGGUCUAGCCCCUUGACUAGUAAACAAUUUUUAUUAUUAUUUUAUUGUACUUCUGUAAGUUCUUGCUCUGCCACAGCUACUGAUGUUACAUAAAAGCCAACAUUCUGCAGGGACAACAAGAACGUAAAGGAGGAGGCUGACGGUCACAAAUCGUAAUUAGAUAUGCUGGUUAAACUAUCACGUAAGGUAACAACAGCGCAUCCUAUUAGGGCUUGUUCACGUAGCUACCUGGAGCCUGGUGUUGCAGAGAAUAAAUGCAUACCUAAUUGUUGGAACUUUGACUUUAAUGCCUUGGGAAAGUAUUUACCUUUAGAGAACCUUAAGCUGCUUGGUCAACAUUUACUCUGUACCUUUAACCAAAUGGGAAGGUUUUAUAUAUAACCAUUAAACAAACAAGUUGUGGCAAACAAGUUUAUGGUACACUGGUAUAUAAAGGCUUUUAGCCUUUUUUUAAAGUAAUUUCCCUCAAGAUAAUAACAUGCAAUUUUUUUCUAUCACUUCCCCAGUCUCAGACCAAAUGCCUUUUGGCAAAACUGGGAAGUACAUGUUUAUUCUGUCAGAUUUCUUUUCUUAAGAAAAAAAAUAUCCUUUGUAUAAUGUAGUCAUCAUUCAGAGAACAUAUAAAUCUUACACUGUUACUCCAUUCAUAUGUUUUUUUUUUUAAACUGUCAUGCCAAAUUAAUCCCUGGUGCAAUAUUGUGUCACCAGUGAAGCCGUGCCACUUGCUUGCUUGGACUCUUUAGUUCUAAUGGAAAGAUUUAUCUUUCCAAAGAGUUUCUCUGUCUUCAGUACUUACUACAUGGAGCCUUGGAAAUCUCGCCUGUUUUGCUGUUAUUAUCUCUUUUCCUUAUAUAGUGUAUGUUUUCCUUCUUUUUUAAUCAUGGUUUUCUUUAUUGGAAUGUGCAGAAGGUUUUCUCAUAUAUGCAAAAUAAAAAACCCACUGUGAUUUAUACAGAAUAUCCACAAGAGGGAACCGUUUUACAUAAAGAGGAGUCAUUUCCUUGCUGCCAAAAUACUGCUUUCUGGAACCAAACCCUCCGGAUUUAUGUCGAGCUGGCAUGAUUGUCCCCCGUACUAUGCUAUAUGGUAGCAACAGGAAAAACACAGGUAAACACAGUGUUUAUUGUGUUCUGUAAAUAGUAUUCAGUUAAAUAAGUAAAUUUUGAACUCUCUUGUUGAAAUAUUAAAUAGAAAACUAAACCGAAAA